GUUGACUGUCGAGGAGUGAACAUCUCUCUGACUAAACCAAUAUGGAAGCUUUCGAACGACAAGAGUGUCAGGCUGCGAUACUUUGUGAAAAGAAACAGCAUGUUAUUGCUGUAUUGUUGCGAUCAUCAUUAUGACUUGUGUUUUACUAUAUCAAGUUUACCUUUUUUAAUUUAAAUUGCAUGGGACGUGCUGUCAUUUUAGCUUUAUAAAUAAUCCGCCUGAGAAAAGGAAUUGUGUUUAAUUUUAUGUUCCCAAUAGCGAGGCUCUUCUUUCUAAGUUGGAUGGCGUUAAAUCUCCGUGUAUCAUCAACGUGAAAACAAGCGCAGUAUUUUAAUAAGGUUGGUAUACUACAAUGCAUUACAGUUAUCGUGUUAUUUUAUAGUCAAAUUUCCGCUUUGUUGUUUUUAUUCUUGUACUGUAAUUUUAUAAAUACACUGUACAAAAUUAUGGCGUCAUACUUGUGUUUAUAAUGUCUCUAAUUUGACCCUUUGUGUGUGUAUAUGUACUGUGUCGCAUAUGUACAUGUUUUGAGUUAAACGAAUUGUUUAAUAACUUUUUGCUGAAGUAUGAUACCUGUUUGUAUGGAUAGAUUUUUACAUAUAUGUACACUGUGUAUAGUUUAUACAUUGGUUCUCAGAUGAGUCUGAAGGUAUAUUGUUAUUCAGUUAUUUGUAUGUAUUGUUUUAUACAUUUUGCUGAGUAUGAUGCCUGUUUGUAUCUAGUUGUGGAUGGUUGUGAGAAUAUAAUUUUAGAGAUUACAUGUUUGCUAAUUUUAGCGAUGAUAAUGUAUCAAAUAAUAAUUUUCUUGUUAUGAUUUUGUAGAAAGAGAUUUACUUGAGUGGUUGGUUGGUUGGUUGGUUGGUUGGUCUUGAGCCUGUUCAGGAUGGAUAUGAUAAUGAAAGAGGUGAUCAAGGUGAUAGGGCAGAAAGUGAUGACGUUUAAGUGAGAAGAUGAAAGUGAUGAGGAGGAAAUCGCCCACGCUGUAGCAUUCAAGUGCAUCGGUGAUGCUCGUGAAAAAAACUAC